CCCGCUGAACUUAAGCAUAUCAAUAAGCGGAGGAAAAGAAACUAACAAGGAUUCCCCUAGUAACUGCGAGUGAAGCGGGAAAAGCUCAAAUUUGAAAUCUGGCGUCUCCGGCGUCUGAGUUGUAUUCUGGAGAAGCGAUUGUACGUGCUGGACCGUGUACAAGUCCCUCGGAACAGGGCGUCAUCGAGGGUGAGAAUACCCUCUUUGACACACACUGACAGUGCUCUGCGAUGCGCUCUCCUAUAGUCGAGUUGAUUGGGAAAGCAGCUCAGAUCUGGAUAGUAAAUUCCAUCUCAAGCUAAGUAUUGUCUAGAGGCCGAUAGCGAACAAGUACCGUGCGGGAAAGAUGAGAUGCACUUUGCUUAGAGAGUGAAACAGUCCGUGAAAUCGUCGAAAGAUCAACGCUUGUAGUCAGGCGCGUCUUCUGGAACUCAGACUUGCUUCUGCUCGGUGCUCUUUCCAAUUCGGCUCAUCAGCAUCGGUUACGGUGGGGCAGACAAAGGCGGAGCGAAGGUGGUCGCUCCCGCGUGUGUUAUAACCCUCCGUCGUCCGUGUCCCCCCGGAUCGACGAAUCCCGCGCAAGCCUGGGAUGCUGGCGUAAUGGCUUUAAGCGACCCGUCUUGAAACACGG
rnacentral:rRNA from 1 species